rnacentral:rRNA from 1 species
UACGGAGGGGACUAGCGUUGUUCGGAAUUACUGGGCGUAAAGCGCACGUAGGCGGAUUUGUAAGUCAGGGGUGAAAUCCCGGGGCUCAACCUCGAACUGCCUUUGAUACUGCAAAUCUCGAGUCCGAAGAGGUGAGUGGAAUUCCUAGUGUAGAGGUGAAAUUCGUAGAUAUUAGGAAGAACACCAGUGGCGAAGGCGGCUCACUGGUCCGGUACUGACGCUG